ACAACUUUUUUAACGGGGGAUCUCUUGGCUCGUGCAUCGAUGAAGAACGCAGCAAGCUGCGAUACGUAGUGUGAAUUGCAGAAUUCAGUGAAUCAUCGAAACUUUGAACGC
rnacentral:rRNA from 1 species